AUAGAGUUUAAUAUAUGUAGUAAUUAAUUAAGUUAAAAUUUAAUUUUUGGUUAUUAUGAAAUUUAUUUAAUUGGGGUGAUUAAGAAAUAUGAAAAACUUUUUUGAAAUUUAAAUGAUAUAUUUAGUUAUAUGAUCCAUAGUUAAUGAUUAUAAGAUUAAAUUACCUUAGGGAUAACAGCAUAAUUCUUUUUGAGAGUUCAUAUCUAAAAAAGAGAUUGUGACCUCGAUGUUGGAUUAAGAUUAGUUUUAGGUGCAGAUGUUUAAUAACUAGGUCUGUUCGACCUUAAAAAUCUUACA
rnacentral:rRNA from 1 species